GGGAUCGGGACCUUUGUGUGCGGGGUCUGCCCGGCCCCGCGCUGCCGGCGAGGACGGAGCUCCCCGGUGACUGCCGGGGCAGCGGGAGAGGAAGCAGAGGUAAAGAUCACAGCUUUCUCAACAAAGACCCAGUCUGAAAAUGGAGUAAAAAUUGAUGUGAGAAGUUUGCUUUCUGGAAGGAAGUGAGUUUCCCUGCUCUCCAGCUCCAAGUCCCAAUAUCAAUUCGUGUUUUCUAAUAUAGUAUUCAUUUUAUAUCAAGUCUGUGCCUUUUCUGUUACUUUUGGAAGACUCUUCUCAUUAUUAUAUACAACUGGUAAUGUGGUUUUGUAAAUUAAAGAUUUUUUCUUGUUCAAUGCUUUGUUUUAUUCACUAAAAUCACAAUAUGAUUUUGCACAUUUUAGUAAAGAAGGUGUCAUUUAAAGCAAACAUUCAAAAAUCUUAGCUGUACUGUUGGAACUGGUUAUUUUCUAGUAAAAAUUUGUGAAUACCUCUUUAUUUUUGUUUUUGAAGCUGAAGUGCUAUUCACUCAUACGUUUCUUGAGGAAUGCCUUAAACUUUUAGAAACAAUUUGCAUUUGGAGAGUGUAAUUUUCUUUCACUUACACAUUCACUCUGUUUGUGAAAGUAUCUAAAAAAAAAAUCAAAACAUAGAAUCUUUUUGUACGUUUCUUAUAUUCUAACGUGUUUAGCUCCUAGGUUUUGUAGGUUCCUUUUAAGAGAAUUGGAUUUUCUCCUUGCAUUUAGAUUAACAAUGAAAUAUUCAUUCUUACUCACUGGAUUAUAUUCCUCUCUAAUUAUUUUAAUCUCUUAUAUAUCACUAUAAGAAGGACAGGCUUCAUUUUUUAAAAGGAAAAUUGGUCUUCUGUGUCAUGUCAGUGCUUAUUAAAUACUACAAUCAUAAGAACAUAUAUGCUACAAGAUUUUAUGUUCUGAUUCCAUUGCUGUUAUAGGCUUAGUGUUUGCAGUAUUUAUUUAGUGAUAAUGCAUUUCUUUUCCUAUUUUGCAUUUCAAAAGUCUUCUUUAAAUGAUUGUUUUACAGAACUAUCAAGAGGUUAUCUAAAUUUUUCCAUCCAAUGUUACACAAUACCAUAAAGUGGUAGUCAUGGAGUUUCCUCCAGUCCAUGUAUAUUCCUUCUAUAGAAGGAAUUAAACAGAAAUCCAUAAAAAGACAACAAAUGUUUUAUUAAAUAAUUGAGUGUAUUAGGCUUCACUGAAUUUUGACCAAAGCAGAAUUUCAGACUGUUCAAUUCUGAGCUAGUGUGUUACAUGGUGUGAGAUUAAAAUAUUUUUAUUUGAAAAAUAUACAGUAGGUUUUUCAUGAAUAUACUCAUGUUGCCAUGGUGCAGCUUUAAUCAAGUUGUUGCAAAGUAAUUAGUUUUUUCUUUGGUGAUGCUUCUUUAUAAGACUAAAGAUUGAGCUUUAAAAUAGCUAACAUUAAAAAAAAAAAAGAAAGACUUGGGAAUUGUACUAGUUGCUUUUCAAAGAAGAAAUUGCAGGAAGACCUCAAUGAACUAAAAAAAAAAAGCGGUGAGAAAAAUGUACAAUUGUUUGUUGCAAGCUUUACUAAAUGUAUAAAUUCAUCCAACAAAAUAUAUUUAAUAGAUUUUCAUUUUAAAAGGAUCUUUAUUUUAAUUUACCUGUCAGGGAAAUAAAGGAUAGAUUUGCUGCUGUACUGUGAUUUUUUUUUUCUUAGUUAGAGUUGGCAAAAUCAUUGAGGAUGCUUUUUAAAUUAGAUGUCAUUUUGUCGACAAGAAUGAAGAAGGGCUGGGACACUGUAGCUAUCAGCUUCAAAUAAUUUUGUGUUUUUUUUAAAACACCAGGAUAUAUUAAUUGCUUUAUUUUCUUACAAAGUAAUUGCUUGCACCUGCCAUUUUCAGGGUAUUUUUUACGAGCUUUUAAAGUAAUAAAAAUAGUGGUUUAAGUA